UGCCGCAGCCCGAGCCUGCACGAGACCCGGCGGCGGCGGCGGCAGGCGGGGACCCCCCACCCCUGCUGUCAGCGCCCGGCCGGGCUGGGGGCCCCGGGCAGCGGGAGCCGGCGCGGGCGCGGGAGGAGGAGGAGGAGCUCAAAAACUGAGAAACCGAGUGCCCGGACUAGGACUCACUUCAAUGCGCUCCCCCGCGUCCCAGCGAGUGGCGGCUUGGGCUGACUUUCCGAAACUUGGAGCGGUUCUUCCUGCAAGGAGGAGAGUUGAGCGUCCAAAGGAUGGUGGAGAAAGAUGCGGAAAGAGAUACAUGAUUGUGAUUUCUUGACCAAAAGCAGGAAAAAAAAAAAAAUCAGAAUUGAAGAUGAAACUGUUGGAGGGAUUUUAGUGCUUAAGGAAGUUAUUUAUUGCGCUUGUGUGUUCUAUGCAAAUGAAUUUGGGGGAAACGGAGUUAAUCUAACUUCCAAAUUUAAAUUGGAUAUUGGCAAAGGAAAAUCAAGAAAGAAAUAAUAGCUGAGAAAGUGUAGAAAUAUUUGCUUGGAUUUGGGUGUUACAAGAUGCUACAAAAAACAAAUGAUCAAGGUUCAGAACUAUUUUUAAAUUAAAUUUGAGCUUCCUCUUGUUGGGUUUUAAAAAUAUCAGCAAAAAGAGAAUCAUAUCCUAUUCCGUCACAAACAUUGACCAAUAGCUGUGAAGUCAUAUCUUAAUCCUAUUUUUUCUAGCUGUUCAAAUAAUAUUCUGGGUCAUAUAUGCUGUAAAUUGUAAGCGGAGCAAGAACAAAAACAGUAAAUCUUUGUUUGCUUGACAUUUCACUCUGAAUCUUAAAGAAUUUUUAUCCUUCUGGAAUCCUGUAGUAAAAUGUAGGCCAGUGUCUUACCUGUUGGAAAGAUGAGCUAGGAGGGCUAAGAGACUGAACUUCUGAUAGAGAACAAAUCUUCACAGUUCACCAGGGCCCUGGCACAUCCCUUCCUACCAAUCUGCCCUUCCCUGAUUUAAUUCUAUCAUUUCUAGGUGCUGUUGCUGACUCCCUAUAUCUUGCCACUCGUUCUUUUCUAUCCAGUUCUUUUAUGAUCUCAACGAUCUAACUGAACAAGUACUUUUCCUACAACACACUUUUCCAUCAUGUUUUCUGGUUAUAUCUUUUUCAUAAUUCAAAGUUUAAAUAAUAUUUUAUCUGGACAUUGAAUUGUUCAGUAAAUUAUGUAAAUGGUAUCAUAGGUAUAUUUCUCAUCCCAGCCAAACUGUAAAUUGUGAGUAGCGAGGAAUAAUUCCAAGGGUAGAGAAAUGGUACAGGGCUUAUGGUGCUUCCUUGUACACAGCGACCAAAUUUAGAGUCUUAGAGUCUGGCAUUGCAUCCAGUGCUCCCAAGAACUACCAAGAAUGACUAUUGAGAGCAACAAAGGAAUAUUUAUUAAUAUUAUUUUCCUACAGACCCUUAUUUUUUCAAUACAGUGCUAAUCUUCCUUCCUUCCUUCCUUCCUUCCUUCCUUCCUUCCUUCCUUCCUUCCUUCCUUCCUUCCUUCCUUCCUUUGUUUUUGGUUGUUUUUGUUUGGGGGGCCACACCCUGUGAUGCUCAGUGGUAACUCCUGGCACUGCACUAAGGAGUUACUCCUGGCGAUGCUUUAGGGACCAUAGAGGAUGCUGGGAAUAGAACCCAGGUCAGCUGAGUGCACCGCAAAUGCUCUAAAGACUAUCUUAGCUCUCCAGCCCCAAUACAGUACUGCUAUAAGGAACAAGAGUUUUCUUGAAGCAAAUUUCCUGUUGUUUAGGUUCUCUGUAUUGCUUAGUCAAAAUACUUACUUCAAAUCUCUUUAAAGUCUUUAUACUUUAUUCAAUUUGCUGUUUAAGUUCACUUAAACAUUUUUUGAGAAAGGCAAUAAUGAACUAUAUUUUUAAAAGUUUAAAAUUAUCAAACUAUCAGAGUCAAAAAUAUAAAAAUACCAAACUGGAAGAACAAAAUAUGGAGGAGAGAGGGAAUAACAGCAAUAACAUUAGAAUAGAGUAUAGCAAUUGUUAAAUCUAUAAUAUCAUAGUCACAUGAUUUCUUUUACAUUAUCAUUUUUAUUGCACAGAGUUGAGAAUACAGAACUAGAGAGGGAAAUUCUUGAAUGCCAUACUGUACAUAAGAGGAGAAUCUAGCUAUUUGAUUCUUAAAGAAUUUUGUUUUCCCAAACAAAGCAAAUUCACUUUGCACAAUAAUGUCUGAGUCACUGACACAAAUUAGAGAAAGAAAUUUAUGUUACAUGUAGAUAAUUCAGUACUGCAUAAUGUAAAGUUUAGGGUCUUUGGUGUCAAACUGAAGCUUGAGUUCUUUUUCUGUAGGUUUUUAAACUUUCUGUUGCAUGACUAAGUUAAUUUUUCUGAACUUCUUCAUCUAUGAGGUAUUAAUUACGUUCUGAAAGUGAUAUGAGAAUCAAAUGGCAUAAAGUAGGUGCUCAUAAUAGUUACUGAGAUUAUCAUAUAUUACUGAGGAUAAAAAUAAGUUAAUUUCAUGAGAUCGUUUCUAUUAUCACUGUUACUAUGCUAUAUUCUUAUACUGCAAGUAUUAUUGACAUGUUAUGCUGUUGUUUAACUGAUAUAAAUUCAGUUUAGACUUGACAACCUAUCUACUUAAACUGAGCUAUUUUAAGAGGAAGGUUUAUACCAAAAGUGAAACACUUUGAAUUACUUUAGUUGUUGUUUUGCUUUUACAGACUUCAACACAGGUCUCAAAAUUGCAAAACAGGAUUUACUGUUGGAUAAACUAAGGAAUUUGGGGUUUGUUUCUGCUACUAUUUCUUCUCUAAAACCUUGACAAAUGAAAAAACUAUUUCAUGCAUCAAAAAUUAUAAUUCAUUAUCUGAUAAGAUGGCAGAAUUUCAGUUUAUAAGUUUCAACCUUAUUAAAAUAAAGGGGAGCAGGGAUAUACAUGAAUAGUAUAGUUGAAUCUCACAUGAAAUAAGCAGAACUAUAUUUCAAUUGAAUUCUCUAUUCCAAUAAAAUUACUUAGGGAAAGAAUUCAACAAAAAAUAAGUUUAGACUACAUUGCAUGUUGCAUAUGCUGGCCUCUUCCAAUUGCAAUUGAUGCCUAAAUCCUCAAGAUUUACAAGUGUGUUUAUGUGUGUGUGUGUGUGUGUGUGUAUACAAUUAAACUUUACAAUUAAACUUUGUGUUCUAUCAGUUUGGAGACAUAUUCUCUUUUACAUCAAUAGUAACUAUUAAAAUACAUCCAAUAAAUCAUCUGCUCCU